AUCACACACAAGUUUAUUACAGUGCUCUAUCACUGAUGUCUCAACUUGUUCUAUCGUAUAAAUGUUUAUUACUCUAUUACAUUACAUUCAUAUGUGCAUUACUGUAUGACAAUGCCUUGGAGUAUUUGUUGAAAGGAUUGGUCUCGAGAUUUGUCGUAGGAAUUGCAAUGUUGUUUCCUGAGAGGAUGCAAUAAACUGUUCUAGUUUU